GGUCCGAUGGUGUAGUUGGUUAUCACUUCUGUCUAACACAGUCACGUGUUCUCACAGGCGGUCCUCAGUUCGAACCUGGGUCGGAUCA